AUACGGGAGGCAGCAGUGAGGAAUAUUGGUCAAUGGGCGCGAGCCUGAACCAGCCAUCCCGCGUGCAGGAAGAAGGCCCUAUGGGUUGUAAACUGCUUUUGCGCAUGAAGAACUGUAUCCUCGUGAGGGUAUUUGACGGUAAUGCGUGAAUAAGCACCGGCUAACUCCGUGCCAGCAGCCGCGGUAAUACGGAGGGUGCAAGCGUUAUCCGGAUUUAUUGGGUUUAAAGGGUGCGUAGGCGGCAUUUUAAGUCAGUGGUGAAAUCCUGCAGCUUAACUGUAGAUGUGCCAUUGAAACUGAAGUGCUUGAGUGAUCUUGAGGUAGGCGGAAUGUGUAGUGUAGCGGUGAAAUGCUUAGAUAUUACACAGAACACCCAUUGCGAAGGCAGCUUACUAAGGGUCUACUGACGCUGAUGCACGAAAGCGUGGGGAUCGAACAGGAUUAGAUACCCCGGUAGU
rnacentral:rRNA from 1 species